AGAGUUUGAUCAUGGCUCAGGAUGAACGCUAGCUACAGGCUUAACACAUGCAAGUCGAGGGGAAACGACAUCGAAAGCUUGCUUUUGAUGGGCGUCGACCGGCGCACGGGUGAGUAACGCGUAUCCAACCUGCCCACCACUUGGGGAUAACCUUGCCGAAAGUAAGACUAAUACCCAAUGACGUCUCUAGAAGACAUCUGAAAGAGAUUAAAGAUUUAUCGGUGAUGGAUGGGGAUGCGUCUGAUUAGCUUGUUGGCGGGGUAACGGCCACCAAGGCGACGAUCAGUAGGGGUUCUGAGAGGAAGGUCCCCACAUUGGAACUGAGACACGGUCCAAACUCCUACGGGAAGCGA
rnacentral:rRNA from 1 species